AUGAACGCUGGCGGCGUGCCUAAUACAUGCAAGUCGAGCGAACAGAUGAGGAGCUUGCUCCUCUGACGUUAGCGGCGGACGGGUGAGUAACACGUGGAUAACCUACCUAUAAGACUGGGAUAACUUCGGGAAACCGGAGCUAAUACCGGAUAAUAUAUUGAACCGCAUGGUUCAAUAGUGAAAGACGGUUUUGCUGUCACUUAUAGAUGGAUCCGCGCCGCAUUAGCUAGUUGGUAAGGUAACGGCUUACCAAGGCAACGAUGCGUAGCCGACCUGAGAGGGUGAUCGGCCACACUGGAACUGAGACACGGUCCAGAAUCCUACGGGAGGCAGCAGUAGGGAAUCUUCCGCAAUGGGCGAAAGCCUGACGGAGCAACGCCGCGUGAGUAAUGAAGGUCUUCGGAUCGUAAAACUCUGUUAUUAGGGAAGAACAAAUGUGUAAGUAACUAUGCACGUCUUGACGGUACCUAAUCAGAAAGCCACGGCUAACUACGUG
rnacentral:rRNA from 1 species